rnacentral:rRNA from 1 species
GUCUUAUUGAAAAUAAUUUUAAGUCGAUCUGCCCAAUGAGUAUUUAAAUGGCUGCAGUAUAACUAACUGUACAAAGGUAGCAUAAUCAAUUGAUUUUUAAAUGAAAUCUGGAAUGAAAGGAUUAAUGAAAUAUAUACUGUCUCAUAUUUAUUUAAUGAAUUUAAAAUUUUAAUAAAAAUGUUAAAAUUUUUUUAUGGGACGAUAAGACCCUAUAGAAUUUUAUAUUACUUUAUUUUUGUAAUUAAAUAUAAAAUUUAAAUUAAUAUUUGAUUGGGAGAAUCAUUAAAUUUGAUAAAUUUUAAUAAAUAAAAACUUUAAUUAAAGAAAAUUUUUGAUCUUUAAUUUAAAAUUGUUAGAAUAAAUUACCUUAGGGAUAACAGCGUAAUAUUUUUUUAUAGAUCGUAUAGAAAAAAAUGGUUGCGACCUCGAUGUUGAAUUAAGAUAAAUUUUAAAUGUAGAAGUUUAAUAAUUAAGUCUGUUCGACUUUUAAAAUCUUACAUGAUUUGAGUUCAAAUCGACGUAAGU